AGUCGGCAAAAUACAACCAACCCCAGAAUCAUGUUCCUGUGAGGUCUUCAUGGUAAUUCCCAUUCAGAUGACGGUUGGGUUUAGCUCAUCGACUGCUUUCCUGGAAAACUUGAUCUGGCUAACGUGCUGCUUUUUAGACUUUUAGCCAAAAUGCUUGCAUUUCUUUAAACUGUGGCUUCCUUCUACCAGCUCAGUGUCAGCUGAUCAGCUCUCCAGUUGGACCCCUUAAUUCAGUGGCCGUAGUCCCUUAAACAGAUUCCUGCAAGGCUAAUUCACAAUUUCAUAUUUCAAACUUCCCAGUCUUGUUCGGCUGGGGUUUAAACAGCCCUAUCAACCAUUUUGUUCAGGAAUGGUCUUGAAACUUAAAGGAUUGUUGAGCCUACCCUUGUGCAAGGCAGUUUUAUGAUCCAGGAUGUUCAUUUUUGAGAUGGAGAUGUUGGAUUUUUUUUUUCUGCAUACUAGCGGCUUUUGCUAGCUUGAAGGCGAAGCGGUAAAACCAGAAGAGGGUAACGGGCUCAACGGUGCAGGAAACCAUGAAACUAUUCUCCAUGUCCAACACAUUGAUUCUGGGUGCUCACAUCUUUCAAAGUUCAAUAUUUGUUCAAAUAAAAAUUAUAUUAAAAGCUA